rnacentral:rRNA from 1 species
CCCUUAGAUGUCCUGGGCCGCACGCGCGUUACACUGAUGCAUUCAACGAGCUUAUAACCUUGGCCGAGAGGCCUGGGCAAUCUUGUUAACGUGCAUCGUGAUAGGGAUAGAUUAUUGAAAUUAUUAAUCUUGAACGAGGAAUUCCUAGUAAACGCAGAUCAUCAAUCUGCAUUGAUUACGUCCCUGCCCUUUGUACACACCGCCCGUCGCACCUACCGAUUGGAUGGUCCGGUGAAGCCUCGGGAUUGUGGUUCUUGCCGCUUUAUUGUGGCGUGACCGCGAGAACUUGUCUAAAUCUUAUCAUUUAGAGGAAGGAGAAGUCGUAACA